AAAUUGAAGAGUUUGAUCAUGGCUCAGAUUGAACGCUGGCGGCAGGCCUAACACAUGCAAGUCGAACGGUAACAGGAAACAGCUUGCUGUUUCGCUGACGAGUGGCGGACGGGUG
rnacentral:rRNA from 2 species